rnacentral:lncRNA from 1 species
CUUCUCAUGCCGAUAUACUAUUCCACCAUCUUCACCAUCUUAUACAACUACAAACCUAUAUAUAUAUAUAUUAUUUGACAUAUGGGUCAUUUGUUUUCUGAAAUAUAUUUUCGUGGGAGAUCACAAAAGUUUGAGUUUAAUCCAUGUGCUAAGAAGGAAAAGGGAAGAUUAGUUCACGUUAGCCAUACGUACAAAAGAGAAAAGGAAAAGGUAAUUUUGCUCUUGUUUGAUAUCUUUCUCUCUUGGCCUCUCGUUGUCCGUUUGGUGUCCAUGGAUAGCAAUGAUUCAAACACAAUGAUGUGACCCCCAUUCCGAGGCCACAGCAGCUGCGGCACGAGGUUCUCCUUCUCUCCCCUUUGUAUCAAAUUACUUAGACAUCCACGUUCCUUUUUUUUAUACCUUCUUUCUUGCCACAAUUUUCUUAACAACCCUUUAUGAAGCAACACUUCAAGUUCGGAUGCAACCAA